rnacentral:ncRNA from 1 species
GGGAAGUCGGCAAAACGGAUCCGUAACUUCGGGAAAAGGAUUGGCUCUGAGGACUGGGCUCGGGGGUCCCGGCCCCGAACCCGUCGGCUGUUGGCGGAUUGCUCGAGCUGCUCACGCGGCGAGAGCGGGGCGCCGCGUGCCGGCCGGGGGACGGACCGGGAAUCGCCCCUUCGGGAGCUUUCCCCGAGCAUGAAACAGUCGACUCAGAACUGGUACGGACAAGGGGAAUCCGACUGUUUAAUUAAAACAAAGCAUUGCGAUGGUCCUCGCGG